ACCACAGGCAUAAUUCAUAAACACCACAGGCAUAAUUCAACAUAAGCACGAAAUAAUCCAUAAAUCCAAGUUCAAGUCACAUUUUAGUUUCCACAUUGUUCACAACCAAGUCUACUUCCGUGGAGGCCAAGGAGACCACUGCGACAAAUCUUGAUCUUCAUUAUUCGAAGCCGCCGAUUGAUUCUGCACAUAGGAUAGGACAUUCUGAGCUAACAUCUAAAGUUGUCAAAUUUAAAGUAUUAAAUCUUAAGCACAAUGUGUCAAGUGACUCACAGGAGUAGUCGUGGGUGGCUGAGGCGGAGGGAACAUCAUCGGCGGUGGCGGAGGCAAAG
rnacentral:lncRNA from 1 species